UCUAGAAUGGAGGAUGGGGGUAGCCCAGGGAUCCACUGGGCUCCUGUUCACCUCAGAUAAAACAUAUUCUUUCAGAGAUUGGUUUCAUUCAAGGACCUGACUGCAGACUUCAUCCACGAGGAGUGGCAGUACGUGGACUGUGCUCAGAGGCUCCUGUGUGGGGAUGUGAUGCUGGAGAACUAUGGCAACCUCAUCUAAGUGGAGUAUCACGUUAGCAAACCAGAUGUGAUCUUCAGAUGGGAGCGAGGAGAAGAACCAUGGACAGUGGAGGAAUUCUCAAAUCCGAAGUACCCAGAAGUUGAUGAUGCCUUAUAGAAGGACAAGAAAAUCCAAGGCCAACAUUUGAGGCAAACUGUAUUCUUCUGCAAUAAAACACUGAUUACAGAAAGAGUUACUGUAUUUGGGAAAACAUUUAAUCUGGGUGUGAAUAUGGUUCCCUCAAGAAAAACACCCUACAAGUAUCCAUGUGGAAACAAUUUGAAAACUAAUUCAGAAGUAAUCAUUGCAAAGAAAAGCUAUUUUAGAAAGGUUCCUGAUGAAUACAGUAGAUGUGGGAAAACACUACUCAUUUCUAAGCAUAAGAAAAGUCAUUCUGGAAUGAAAAAAUACAAUAUAAUCCAGUUAGGAAAGCCAGAAGUCAAAAUGAAGAUCUUAUUCUGCACCAGAAGAUUCAGGCUUUGAAACAACCUUUUGGAUAUGGCAAAUGUGGGAAAAUCUGCA